GACGAACGCUGGCGGCGUGCUUAACACAUGCAAGUCGAACGGAAAGGCCCUGCUUUUGUGGGGUGCUCGAGUGGCGAACGGGUGAGUAACACGUGAGUAACCUGCCCUUGACUUUGGGAUAACUUCAGGAAACUGGGGCUAAUACCGGAUAGGAGCUCCUGCUGAAUGGUGGGGGUUGGAAAGUUUCGGCGGUUGGGGAUGGACUCGCGGCUUAUCAGCUUGUUGGUGGGGUAGUGGCUUACCAAGGCUUUGACGGGUAGCCGGCCUGAGAGGGUGACCGGCCACAUUGGGACUGAGAUACGGCCCAGACUCCUACGGGAGGCAGCAGUGGGGAAUAUUGCACAAUGGGCGGAAGCCUGAGGCAGCAACGCCGCGUGCGGGAUGACGGCCUUCGGGUUGUAAACCGCUUUCGCCUGUGACGGAGCGUGAGUGACGGUAAUGGGUAAAGAAGCACCGGCUAACUACGUG
rnacentral:rRNA from 1 species